rnacentral:rRNA from 1 species
AUUGAACGCUGGCGGCAUGCCUUACACAUGCAAGUCGAACGGUAACAGGUCUUCGGAUGCUGACGAGUGGCGAACGGGUGAGUAAUACAUCGGAACGUGCCCAGUAAUGGGGGAUAGCCCGGCGAAAGCCGGAUUAAUACCGCAUACGCCCUGAGGGGGAAAGUGGGGGACCGCAAGGCCUCACGUUAUUGGAGCGGCCGAUGGCUGAUUAGCUAGUUGGUAGGGUAAAGGCCUACCAAGGCGACGAUCAGUAGCUGGUCUGAGAGGACGAUCAGCCACGCUGGGACUGAGAAACGGCCCAGACUGCUACGGGAGGCAGAAGUUGGGGAUUUUGGACAAUGGGGGAAACCCUGAUCCAGCAAUGCCGCGUGUGCGAAGAAGGCCUUCGGGUUGUAAAGCACUUUUGUCAGGGAAGAAAUCCUUUGGGCUAAUACCCUAGGGGGAUGACGGUACCUGAAGAAUAAGCACCGGCUAACUACGUGCCAGCAGCCGCGGUAAGAC